AGAUGGCGACCGGCGCACGGGUGAGUAACACGUAUCCAACCUGCCGAUAACUCGGGGAUAGCCUUUCGAAAGAAAGAUUAAUACCCGAUGGUAUAAUCAGACCGCAUGGUCUUGUUAUUAAAGAAUUUCGGUUAUCGAUGGGGAUGCGUUCCAUUAGGCAGUCGGUGAGGUAACGGCUCACCAAACCUUCGAUGGAUAGGGGUUCUGAGAGGAAGGUCCCCCACAUUGGAACUGAGACACGGUCCAA
rnacentral:rRNA from 1 species